UUGACGGGCCCGCACAAGCAGCGGAGCGUGUGGUUUAAUUCGUUGCUACACGAAGAACCUUACCUGGGUUUGACAUAAUGGUGGUAGGGAUCCGAAAGGUGACCGACCCUUCGGGGAGCCAUUACAGGUGUUUGCAUGGCUGUCGUCAGCUCGUGUCGUGAGAUGUUCGGUUAAGUCCGCUAACGAGCGCAACCCUCGCUGUGUGUUAUAUGUGUCACACAGGACUGCCGGUAAAAGCCGGAGGAAGGUGAGGAUGAUGUCAAGUCAGCAUGACCUUUAUAUCCAGGGCUACACACACGCUACAAUGGUCUGUACAAUGGGUAGCCAAGCCGCGAGGCGGAGCCAAUCCUGAAAGCAGGCCUCAGUUCAGAUUGCAGUCUGCAACUCGACUGCAUGAAGCCGGAGUUGCUAGUAACCGCAGGUCAGCAAUACUGCGGUGAAUACGUUCCCGGGUCUU
rnacentral:rRNA from 1 species